GAGGCUGAGGAAGGGCAGCUAGUUAGAACCGGUUCCCAGGCCGCGGGCAGUCGGAGAGAGAAGCAGUGUUGAGAGGUUCUGUUGACAUUGAUCGCAGUCUGAGAAUUUGCGCUUUCAGCUUAUUCCCGCCCGUUAAACUCUCCGCCAGUAUGCCACGCAAAGCGGUUGUGACUACAAAACCUGAAGAACUAAGGAGAUCAUCACGAACUAAGCGUACUAUCCAAACAGCAGCUCCAACCAAGAAGGCACCAGCCAAGAAAGCCAAGAAACAAAAGGUCACUAAAGGGAAGACGAGUGAUUCAAGCCAGGAAGCUAAUGCUGCCCCAGCUCAAAACGGGGAGAAUAAAGAGGCAUGAGAAUUGAAAAAUGCUGGUGGGCGAAAGUCUUGUCCAAGUCUGGAGAGUUUGCCAACCUCCUGUCACUUGUACAGUUGAAAGGAAUAUUUUUAUCAAUUUUUAUAAAUGCAACAUUUUUGUAGGUUGAGUGGGCAGAUGUUGCGGAUGCUUGCAGUGUGUUUUUAUUUUCUGGAGACUUCGUAUACUGACAUGAUGCACAUUGAAAGUGCUUGAAAUUAAACAUUUUUUUUGUUUUUCUCCCCCUUUGUAUCCCUAAAUGUGACUGUUUCCUACUUGUGCUGUCAGUUCAAGUUGUAUCUGUAAUGUCGGUAACUGUUAGUGGUAAUUCUUGCUGUCCAUGUGAAAUCAAAACUCAUGCUUGGCAAUUUCACAAGAGAAAAAUGGAACUUUUUUAAAAUGCUGUUUUAAAGUGAAAAUAUUCUUUGGAAUGUGUUUCAACAGACUCUUCUGACAUCAAUCCUAUUUUUGCUGAGUAUCAUGGAGUUUUAAAUUUGCUGCCCAAAUAAAGUUGAAUACUGUUGUGCUUGGGAA